rnacentral:lncRNA from 1 species
GUCUGUUUUAGUUUGAGCCAAAGCCACAGGAGGCCAAGCACAACGAUUUUAGCAAGUGUGAGCAAGCUCACUUCAAAGCCACGUGUCACACUGUACUUAAAGGAACAGAAAGUGAACGAGCUUAGAAAGUGAAGAAGUACCCACUUUUUGUGAUAACAUAUAUAUCUGGAAAAGAACGGAGUUUGGACAAGGUAGAAGCCGUAGGUGUGCUGUUUCUGGUGAAAUGGAGACUAGUAUUACUGAAAGAAAUUGAGAGCAGUGUGUCAAAGCACAUGAUCAAAGACCAUAGAGGAGCCUGUGGGAGAGUCCUGCCAAUCUAAAUAGUCCGGAGCAGGACUGCAUUGGUGGAACUGUUCUGAAUAAUUCAGUGGUCAACAUAAAUGCAGAAUCUGACGAGAAAAUGUUCGAUGCUAAAAUGGACAUUGUACUUUAAAUAGUAUAUGACUCUUACAAAAAGCCUGUGUUUAGAAAAGUAAUACAGGCAAUAAGGAGUCUUUCUUUACUCAUUGAAAUGACACUUGAGAAAACAACUAUUUUUGUUGAAUAUUUUCUUUUGAAACCACAGGUUUCCAUAGAAAGGGCC